GAAAGGAUGAAGCAAGGUAAUGAGUACAUAAAUUGAAUUGGGUCUCUUUCUCUGCCCUCUCUGGUGCUUUGCGGUUUUGAUUUGGCGCCAUGGUUUCGCAUCAUAAUG